rnacentral:lncRNA from 1 species
GACCACUCUUUCUACAAGGACUCCAGCGUCCAUAAAGCAUCGAGUACGGCCCUGGGCUCCGAGGAAAGGUCUCCCUACAUAUCAUUGUGUGCAGACCUGCUCCGCCAACUCCUGACUCAGGAAGGUUACCAGAGAGAGCGCCUGGGCUCUGCUCAUUGUCCUGGCGGUUGGGGGAGCAUAUGUCCCUUAACUCUGUUAACAUGCAAGUCCCCUGAUCCCUGCUCCCCACCCCAGGCUCAGGAGUUUGGAGAGCUCUGUCACGCAGGUGAGGGUUCAACUCCGACAGAGAUGCCCAUGGAUUGUUCCUUGGGGGGUGGGCUGAUGACAGCCUCCAUUCUAUGAGCAGCAGUUGACAAUCUUCACUGAUUUGUCUACCACUCUCAUUACUGUUGCUCUAUGGUACCUGUCACCUGCACCAUUAUGCAUUCAUUACAGGCUGGGUA